AGCUGACAUGAGAAGGGAAAAUGUGUCUCUGUGAAUCUCACAGCUCAGUAAUCGUACUAGAAAUCGUAAACUGGUGGAACUUCAGUUUCUGUGUUUCAGUUGAUUUUGGAUCUCUACAUCAGUGAUUACAUUAGCGUACAAUCUGUUCCUCUGACCUCCGUCCUGGAUAAUGAAGAAUGAAGACCUCAAAUGAAGCCUUUUGUGUGUAAAAAAUGAGACAUCUGGAAACAGCAUUUCCAGCAUGUCGACCGCCAUUGAUGAGACUUCAAAGCCCCCUGCAGGUACAGAUGGGUAGCGUCACUCAGGCUUCAUCCAUCAAUGUUUACAGUCUAUAGUCAAAAGCAAGCGGCAAUAUUUGGUGUUAAAAAAAUAAGCUGAAUUGGAAGUCAAAUGCAGUUCCUGGAGUGUGCACUUGAGGCUGUAACACCACUAUGCAUGUCUUUUUAAAAAACAAAGCCCUUGAUAAAUGCCUGAUUAAUACAGCUCCAAGAAAAAACAAAGCUCCCUGUCAUCAAGAUUAACUCUUAACGAAGCAUUUAGUUUUAUUUACUACAAUUCUUUUACAAAAAACACCAACUGUAUCAUUAUUUCUCUCGUUAAUUUCAUAUGAUAUGUCAUGUUUUCUCUCACUCACACACACAAGGUAGAAGGUUUGUAAGGAUGAUGAGAGUAAAGGAUGUGCUUGGCAAAGUUUUGUUUGGAAAGGCAGACUUUUUCAGAUGGUUACUAAAUAAUUUGGGUUACUGGACUUUGGACAUAAAUAUCAAACACUGCAGCUUAUCAGGUGUCCUCCUUUCCCCAUUGGCUGCUGAGCUUGACCCCAUCCCCCUCUGGAUCAAUUUUGUUUAGACGUACAGGACUGACCGGCCUUGUUGUCGAUAGUAUUCAUGGACGGUGUGUAUUAGCCUUCUAACCCACCCCCGAUACUCAUCCACAGUGAUUUAGUGGAGCUGAGAACCAUGAAUUUACAGACAGGCAGUCGAGACGACGGACUGUAAAUAUUAAUGGAUGAAGCCUGGGUGAUGUCAUCC